AACGCAAAUUGCGCUCGAGGCCUCGGCCAAGAGCAUGUCUGCCUCAGCGUCGGCUACUACCCUCAACCAAGUUUCCUAUUUUUACUGGGGAUGUUUCUUGUUCUUAUUUGCGGUGUCUCCUAUGUCAAUAGGAGAUGUCCCUUAUUUUUAUGAGGGAUAUUACCUGUCCUUGUAGGAAACGCCGGUUGGAUCUGGCUGUCCGGAUUGCCUUUCAGGUUGCCGGUCAGCUGAAAUAUAUUCUCGCUCUGGAGGCUGCUUUCCUGUCGAGGAAGUGCGAGUUCCUAUUUGGUAGGCUGCCUUUGCCGGUUACAUGCCUUCGUUGCCCGCUAUGUUUCCCAGUAUGCUUUGUGCUGUACGCCUUUUGGCUUUCUACCUGAUGUCAGUCAAGAACACCCGCUGAACUUA
rnacentral:misc_RNA from 1 species